UACGUAGGGGGCUAGCGUUGUCCGGAAUCAUUGGGCGUAAAGAGCGUGUAGGCGGCCCGGUAAGUCCGCUGUGAAAGUCGGGGGCUCAACCCUCGAAUGCCGGUGGAUACUGUCGGGCUAGAGUGCGGAAGAGGCGAGUGGAAUUCCUGGUGUAGCGGUGAAAUGCGCAGAUAUCUGGAGGAACACCGGUGGCGAAGGCGGCAUCCUGGACCAUUACUGACACUGAAAAGCGAAAGCCAGGGGAGCAAACGGG
rnacentral:rRNA from 1 species